UAUUGGACAAUGGGGGAAACCCUGAUCCAGCAAUGCCGCGUGUGUGAUGAAGGCCUUCGGGUUGUAAAGCACUUUUGUCAGGGACGAUGAUGACGGUACCUGACGAAUAAGCUCCGGCUAACUUCGUGCCAGCAGCCGCGGUAAUACGAGGGGAGCUAGCGUUGUUCGGAAUUACUGGGCGUAAAGGGCGUGUAGGCGGUACCAUAAGUCAGAUGUGAAAGCCCUAGGCUUAACCUAGGAGGUGCAUUUGAUACUGUGGAACUAGAGAUCGAGAGAGGUAAGUGGAAUUACGAGUGUAGAGGUGAAAUUCGUAGAUAUUCGUAAGAACACCAGUGGCGAAGGCGACUUACGGCUCGAUACUGACGCUAAGGCGCGAAG
rnacentral:rRNA from 1 species